rnacentral:rRNA from 1 species
AUACGGAGGGGGCUAGCGUUGUUCGGAAUUACUGGGCGUAAAGCGCGCGUAGGCGGGCUGGUCAGUCAGGGGUGAAAUCCCGGGGCUCAACCCCGGAACUGCCUUUGAUACUGCCAGUCUAGAGGUCGAGAGAGGUGAGUGGAAUUCCGAGUGUAGAGGUGAAAUUCGUAGAUAUUCGGAGGAACACCAGUGGCGAAGGCGGCUCACUGGCUCGAUUCUGACGCUGAGGUGCGAAAGCGUGGGGAGCAAACAGGAUUAGAAACCCCAGUAGUCC